AACGAACGCUGGCGGCAGGCUUAACACAUGCAAGUCGAGCGCCCCGCACGGGGAUCGGCAGGCGGGUGAGUAACGCGUGGGAACGUACCUUUUGGUUCGGAACAACUCCGGGAAACUGGAGCUACUACCGGAUAAGCCCUAACGGGGAAAGAUUUGUCGCCUAAAGAUCGGCCCGCGUCUGAUUAGCUAGGUGGUGAGGUAACGGCUCACCAAGGCGACGAUCAGUAGCUGGUCUGAGAGGAUGAUCAGCCACACUGGGACUGAGACACGGCCCAGACUCCUACGGGAGGCAGCAGUGGGGAAUAUUAGACAAGGGGCGCAAGCCUGAUCCAGCCAUGCCGCGUGAGUGAUGAAGGCGUUAGGGUUGUAAAGCUCUUUUGUCCGGGAAGAUAAUGACGGUACCGGAAGAAUAAGCACCGGCUAACUUCGUG
rnacentral:rRNA from 1 species